GGCCGUCUGACGGGAAUUGGCAUACCUGCCUGUCUCAGAAACAGGUGUUUCCUGGUUCGAAUCCAGGGGCGGCUA
rnacentral:tRNA from 1 species